CUUAUUGCCACUGUUCACUCCGAAAGUUAAAGGUGCUGCACAACUGGAUUAAGAAUGUGAGGGAGAAGUGUGCACCCAGUUGCAAUGAUAAAACGACUUGCACUGUAAUGAUUGCUUGUGUAUAUUGAGCACUGAGUACAUAAUCAAAAGUUGUACACAGUGCUUUUCAUAAUCAUCGUACUCCAUCCGCACGAGAAUCUAUUUGUUAUCUGUUAUCAUCAUUAUGCCUACUUUACAGCACAGAGCCUGGCACUUAGGAGGUGCUCAAGAAAUAAAAAUGAAAAGAACGGAAGCUCUAAUGUGGAUUGGUCCCUUUGCCUGUCAUCAGCUGAUGGUUCUUUCCGGGGACGGGGAGCUGUAGUUUGAUCAUCUGGCUCAGGCAUGUGCACCCACAUGGUUGUGAGUCACUGACAGUGGUGGAUACAGCUUCAUUCAUACUCCUGCUGUACUCAGCACAGUGCUGUUUUGCUGUAAAAGUGAAGAGAGGAAAGAGGACUAUCAUGGCCAUUCUGUGCUUGACACAGUGUAGGUGGCGAUAUUUGGAAUCCAAGCAAAUAAAACUGGGCAAGGGGAGUUCUUGUUUGUG
rnacentral:lncRNA from 13 species